GAGGCUGGGCGGUGGCUGUUAGGCCCUCCUUCCUCUCCCUGGGUGUCCAUUCUCACUUGUUUUAUGUCCCCUCAGCAUUUGGAGAGUUUCUGAGAGAGUGUAUCACACGGCCUUUGGAGUCAGACACGCCGGGGUUGGAGUCCUGCCACGCACCGCACUACCUGGGAAGCUGGGCAAGUCCUUCAACCUCUCUCAGCUUCACUCAGUUCGCUCCUCUAUAAAUGAUAGUCAUGAUACUUACCUCACACGGUCCUGGGAGACCGUAUAUAUAACCUGCUUGGCACGUACUGUCUCUUCGGACCCUGCUUUCCUCCCUCUUUGUUCCUGAUGCAUCUGGUCAUUGGUGCCUUCUACUUUGGUCCUAUCGUAUUCAGUGUGACCAGCCCCCACCUGGAGAGUUCACCAUGGUGACCACAAGUCAGACCGGCAGCGUUAUUGUCUACCCACAGGACCAGAGGAAGACCUCAAGGAUCCACCCACUCCAGUCAGACAAGCUGGAGAUAUGUGAAGUCUGAAGGAUGAUAAGGUUAUUCAAACGAUCUGGAAAGGAACUGAUAGAUUAUCAGUAUAUAUCCAAGCCCUGGAUAUUGUUUAAAAAGCAAACAAAAACCUUUUUUUUCUUUUGCUGGAAUUUCUGAUGGUACAGUACACAAGUCCCAAUGUGUAACCUAACCAAAAAUAGCUAUACAUUGCUUAGAAAUUUACAUAGCUCAACCGCUGACCUUGUAGAGUUAGG
rnacentral:lncRNA from 1 species